ACACUCGCGCACGUUCCAGGUGCUCGCCCUUUUCGUCCCUGGCGAAAGGGCAGUUCAACGGGAAACAGGGAGCCUUGCCGGCCGCGCGCCGGACGGGCCAACCUGUGCUGCCCCCGCAACGGUAAGCGACCGCGUGCGCAUCCGCCAGUGUCAGCCACUUCCGCAGCCAGCCUGCCGGAAGGGCCGCCGGCAACGACCGGGAUCCGAUCCCGGCCACAUGUCCACGCAGGACCGGCCACACGCCACUGAACCUCGGGUUCGGGAAGGCGCCGGUUCCGAGUCGCCAGCCCGGAUACCGGCCUGAACGCGGGCUGCCGCC
rnacentral:ncRNA from 1 species